AGGGCCACAUUAACAAGAUCGCGCAGAGAGUGUUUUCGGGAGAUUGAAGUUCAGAGCCAAAUUACCACCGGCUUUCGUUAGUGGCUGCAUAAACCUGGGAAGUUUUCUUUGUCCUUAAAAUCCGCGAUUCUCCUGCGAUUUGUUAAACUACAAGAAAUCGGCAGAAUAGUAAAGCAUCUAGGAGGAGAUUGGUGGUGCCGUCUAAGGGAAGACCAGGGGAAUCUGUCCCUCCCUUUUGAAGGCUCCGAGAGUGUCUGGAGCAGGAUCCUCUGGGAAAAAAACCGUUGGAAUUUCACACCGGAGAACUCACUGUCCCUUUUGAGCCCCUCAGGUAACUUUCCUUGAAACAUUUGAAAUCUGACUUCCUGUAAUCUGUAAAAGUUAUGUCUGACCAUCUUUCUUGAACAUUCCAGAAAGUGACAAAGCAAAAUAGAAACACAC